ACCGCCUGAUUAGUGGCGAACGGGUGAGUAACACGUGAGUAACCUGCCCUCCACUUCGGGAUAACCUCGGGAAAUCGUGGCUAAUACCGGAUAUGAGCACUCAUCGCAUGGUGGGUGUUGGAAAGAUUUAUCGGUGGGGGAUGGACUCGCGGCCUAUCAGUUUGUUGGUGAGGUGAUGGCUCACCAAGACGAUGACGGGUAGCCGGCCUGAGAGGGCGACCGGCCACACUGGGACUGAGACACGGCCCAGACUCCUACGGGAGGCAGCAGUGGGGAAUAUUGCACAAUGGGCGAAAGCCUGAUGCAGCGACGCCGCGUGGGGGAUGACGGCCUUCGGGUUGUAAACCCCUUUCAGUAGGGAAGAAGCGAGAGUGACGGUACCUGCAGAAGAAGCGCCGGCUAACUACGUGCCAGCAGCCGCGGUAAUACGUAGGGCGCAAGCGUUGUCCGGAAUUAUUGGGCGUAAAGAGCUUGUAGGUGGCUUGUCGCGUCUGCCGUGAAAACCCGAGGCUCAACCUCGGGCGUGCGGUGGGUACGGGCAGGCUAGAGUGUGGUAGGGGAGACUGGAACUCCUGGUGUAGCGGUGAAAUGCGCAGAUAUCAGGAAGAACACCGAUGGCGAAGGCAGGUCUCUGGGCCAUUACUGACACUGAGAAGCGAAAGCAUGGGUAGCGAACAGGAUUAGAUACCCUGGUAGUCCAUGCCGUAAACGUUGGGCACUAGGUGUGGGGGACAUUCCACGUUUUCCGCG
rnacentral:rRNA from 1 species